rnacentral:lncRNA from 1 species
CCAUACAGAAAACAGCAAGAAACCAACAACAGAGACAAGAUCAACGGAGAAAACCUCCGACGAGCCAGCCAAAACAGAACAAGAGGAGACGACGCUGCCACCAGCUCACCACCGCAGCGGCGCCAUCAACAAAACAAACGGAAUCCUAUCUAUGGUGCUACACAAACAAACACUACCGGAACAACCAAGUGAUAGGUGGUGAGGACCGACCCAAGCAAAACAAGCGCCGAUCUGAAAGUAGGACCACCUCCAAAGCAAACGCCGCCGCUCAAAAGGAACCAGAGGAAGCUUGAAGCAACAUCAAACGACCGGAAAGGGUGGUGUGGAGAAGAAAGAUUCUCAUCGCACCACCACACAGUUUCUACAUCCUGUUGUUAUGAUUUGGAUGAAAGGAGGUAGGCGGUGGAAAAGUUUGUUUAGAGAGAUGACAGAGGAAGUAAAAGUUCAAAUUUUCAGCUAAAAUACUCGUUCUAUUAUGCGGGUUUGUUGAAUAUAUAGUUGGUAUAGUAAAAUAUAGAAUGAAUAACAUGAUUGACUGGUUUAACAAUACGAUUCACAUUGCACAACAUAAGUAAUACAAGACAUGUUUUUCAUCGAACAGAUAUGCACUUUUAACGUAAAUGAAUAGAAUGAUUAUGGUCAUCGUAAUUUCGUUUUGAAUACGUACACUGAAUUAUCAGGAUUAGUUUUUACAACUUUGAAGCAGAUUUGAUCUUAUGGUUCAAAUAUUGUCUUUUUUUUAUGAAUUCAUGGCAGAUAUUUAUCCUAUGUUUCUUUUUAAAAAAAUUAUUAAAUAUAAAUAUUUGUCUUUUGUUUUUAUGUGUGUGUGUGAGUGA